GGCGAAGAGCAGGAGAGAGAGAAUCUCAAGCAGGCUCCACGCUCAGCGCAGGGCCCAAUGGGGGGCUCAAUACCUCGACCCUGAGAUCAUGACCUGACCCAAAAUCAAGAGUCAGACUCUCAACUGACUAAGGCACCUGGGCACCCCUGUCCUAUUAUUUUUCUUGGUAAACCAAACAGACAAACUGCAUACACAUAGUCAUUUAGUCAUUCGUUCAUUCGUUCAUUCGUUUACAGAGUGGUCACGCAUGUUCCCUGUUCCAAACCUUUAUCCCGUCAUGCCCGGACAAUUAUAACCAUCUUUUGCUUGUUUUCUCACCUUCUCUUUCUCCAUCUUGUGUGUUCACUUCUUCUUUUCCAAUCCCAUUGUCCUUCAUCUGCCCUCAGGAUCUUCCAGGUGUGUUGAAUUACAAGACUGAGAGCAGCCACUCUGCACAUGGGUGGGAAGUGUUGGAAGAAAGUACAAUUAUAAGGUGGGUGGAAAGGAGAAUCUGAGACUUUCUCUAUUUGAGGUGUCCAUGGGACAAAUGUGUGGAAAUUAUUGUCGGUGAAGCUCUAGAUCUGAGAAGAGAGAUUUUAUUUAAUGAAAUAAGGACACACAGAUAGUUCAAAGUCAAGAUGCUGAUUCGAUCACUAAAGAGAUAAAGUAAAAGAAAAUGAGAACUGGGCACAGAGUGGGUGACAAAUAAAUAUUUGCUGUUUGUGGUGUCUUACCUGGGAAACUUACUACCAGUAUGUCUCCUUUGAUGGUCAUGACCUGUUCCUUUUAGGGUGUGAAACUCUUUCGUUCCUGGUAUUUAUUAUAGAUUUGAACUCUCCACUUCAAAAGUCAUUUUAAAGAGAGGUAUUCAUAGAAACUUGCUCUCGGAUAAUCAAAUAGCAGUACAAUGGACAAAAACCUUCCAAAAGAAAUACUUAAAAUAGACUUUAACCCUUACUCACCUUGAGGUUAAGAAAAGAAGCUUGCUUUUUAUAAAAAGAAUAUCUAAUAUGAAUCAGAAUUAGAGAAGUAAGGCUGGAAGGAAUUUCAGAGCAUCGUAGCUGAAGCACAUAUUUGCUAGGAGAGUAAACUGAGGCAGAGAAUGACUAAGAAGUUAACCCAAGGCUUCCUGCCUUAAUUGGCAGAAAUCUUAGCCCCUGUUAUCUGAAUGACAAAUAUAGAGGAAGAAUCUUUUCUAGAAAUUCUGAUAAUGCUAGGAAUGCUCCCUGGACCCAAAGCAUCAGAAUAAAAACCUAUUUUACAAAUUAAAAUGUUAAAAUUUCAAUUAAAUUUCUAUUUAGUUGAAAAAGGUAAAACCUAACUGCUUUACUUGGGUUUCAUUGUUUCUUCAACUGUUGUUGGUUUUUUUGUUUUGUUUUGUUUUGUUUUGUUUUAAAGAAGGGGAUGUGGUUUGGAGUGGAUAAUACUGGGCCACUUUCAGCUCCAAAAACAUGGCAUUCUAUAAUUUUUGAAUCAUAAUAUAUUUGUAGAAGGAAUAAGGGAAAUGCCAGCAAAUUAAAUACUAAUACUAAUAUUUCAUAAUUAUAAGAAAUUCAAAAUUCUUGGUCAACACAAUAAGUUGUAAAGUGAAGCUUUAUUCUGUUUUGUCAACUCAUACCAAAUAACUGUUUUUUAAAUUGCUGUUCAUUCUGAUAAUUUGUAUACACAAGUCUUUUAAAAAUUGGAUUAUAAUAGAUACGGGUGAUUUCUACAGAUUAAAAAGCCAUAUUAUAACAUCCACAAGUAAACUUCAGACUUUCUUUUAUUUUAGAAGAGCAGGUAAAAACUAAUCAUUCCCUCUUUCUUUAUACUGUAUGCUUUUUUUUUUCUCCAGAUAAUGAAUAUUUUAAGUGUGAAAACCCAAACUUCCCAAAUACCUAUUCUUCUUUUAAAAAGAAUUGAUAUUACCUUCUUCCUCACCACCACCCCCCACCCACACACAUAAAUUGGGGGCAGUGGGGAGUAGGGGGCUGAAGUUUAGAAAUUGAAGAAAUGAUCAUCUCUAAUAUUCUAUUCCAUUCUGCAGAUGAAUCAUUGCAACCAAUAUCAGUGAAACAUGUUUUAUUCGUAGUCAGAAUUCAAGAAAAUGCCAAUUAUUCAUUCAUCUGACAUUGGUUCAUUUAUUUACUUAUUCAUUCAUUCAACAGAAAUUUUUGACCCUUGGUUUCUGUGCUAGGUAAUCAGGUAAAAAUGUGUAUAAUGUAAAACCAAACCAUUGCCUUUGGUGAACAUAGGGAAGAAACUCUUCUAUCAGACAGCCAGGACUUUUCAAAGGCAAUUUGGAGCAUGAUAUGAGGAAGCAGGCCACAAAAGGAAAAAGAGAUAACACAGUUCUUCCAUCAUUUCCCAUGUUAAUCCCAUUUGUAAAAUCACUGAGAAUCCCUAAAUCUUUUGCCAGAUUCACAAGUAUGCAAACUGAUUCACAACUGUAAGAUUAGACGAAGCUUACUAUUCAGUAGGAACACAAAACAAUGUUUUUAUAAAUUACAAAGAUUUAUUUGAAUUCCUCCUCUUUCCCCCAUAUAACACAUACAAAUCACCCUUUCUUCUGAAAAUUGGCCAAUCAUCAAAGUCACUCAAAGGUUUUGAUGCCUUUAUUUGCCAUCCAGUCAUUGUCCUGAGGCUGUAACAGAAUAGAACAGUAGAACAGGAGCUGAAUCGGUGGGGCAGAGCAACCCUAAAAGAAAAUCUUGACCCACUGUCCUUCACAUACUCAAUGUGGUUGUAUAGUAUACUAUAAUUCUAGAGUUAUAUCAUAAGGAUGCUUCUGGAAUGAAUGUUAAACCUUUAGAAAAUUCAGAGUACCAACUCCUUAAAGGUGGAGAUAAUAUAAUAUAGUAUAGUAUAAAAUAGUGUAGUAUCGUAUCUUCAUAUAGUGAAGAGAAUAUAGAUAAUAUAGCAGAAGAAAGAUUGUGGUUAAAUGACCCAGGCAUAAAUCCUUGUAUAAAUCUGAGUCUUCCCAUUUUUAAAAUAGGCAUAAUAAUGCCUACCAUGCAGGAUUGUUACGAGAAUAAAUAGGUAACCAAUAAAUUGUUAUUUAUACCGGUAGUUCUAAACUGGAGAUGAUUUUGUGUCCCUUACUCACCCCCUUCCACCAAGGGGCAUUUGGCAAAGGCUAGUGACAUUUUUGGUUUACACAACUAGAGAAGAGGUCAAGAUGCUGCUAGAUAACCUAUAAUGCAUAAAACAUUCCUCACAACAAAGAAUUAUCUGGCCUAAGUGUCAACAGUGUGGAGGGUAGACAACUUGAAUGUGUACAGAGCACAUAGCAGGUGGACAGGAGGUGAUGGUUAUUACUAUUACCUGCAAUGUUUCAAAACUAGAUCUAAUGUAAAAACAUUGUGUGUGUAGAGUGAAUAGACUAAAUAUUUCUCUAGCCUUUAUAAUGAAUUAACUCCAAGAUUUCCUUGGAGAUGUACAUAAUCAAUUACAUACUUAAAAACUAUUCUCAAUAGCUCCAGUGACAUUCAAAAUGGAUCUAGGCUGAAACAGACUUCUGUGCAUGCAUAAAGGAAUUUUCCUGUCAAUAUUAUUGUAUGUCAAACAGAAAAACUCUUGAUAUGCAAGACAACUAGAGCAAGAAAGGCGUAGUCUGAAAAUAAAAUUGAAAAUAGUUUUCUAAGCUUCAUUUUCCAAUAUGUUCUGUUUUGGAGCUCUUAUGGUUAUCUGGAUAUUCUAUUCCCCUCUUUCCUCUUUAUGUUACCAUGAACUGAGAUCCUCACAAACUUUGGGUCUUGUCCUUCACACCUGUCUUCCCAGGACACUUUGGCUUUGGGGUCUGUGGGGCAUUGCGUGCUAUCAACAAAAUACAUUCUAAAGCCUGUGGACUCCUGAAAGUCUUCAAUUUUUUAUUUCUGUGCAUUCCUAUAAACAUAACAUUCCUUUGUCUUCUCUAUUAUGGAAUUGUCCCAUGGUGUUCCUUUGUAGGAAUUUUCUUCCAUGAUAACAUUGAAAAAUCACACAGUGCUUGGAAUGCAUUACAGUUGGAAUAUUUUUUUUGACAUACCAUUCAAAAACUCUUUAAAAGCUCAAUCUAUUAAAUCAGAUUCUGACAUUAGUCUACACUAAAUUUCAUCUAGUUUCUUGCUCAUCAUUUUAAUGGUAUAUUUUAGAUCUGACAUCCUCAUGUAAAACCUUUAUUAUUUUGCCCUGUGACAAUUCAAAAAAUCUUCUCUCUUAUAACUUCUUUCCCAACUUGCCCCAACUGUCCACAAGACAGUUCAGUUCAUCAUUUCUGCCUCACUAUAACCACUGUGCUUUCUGCAUAUUACGAAACUGCUCAUGUACAUUCUUUCAUAAUCAAUGUCGAAUAUUUAUUUACAAUAGACUGAAGACAGUGGUUGUUUUAAUAAUCUUUGUAUUUCUACAGCUUAGUGCAAUGCAGACAUACCACAAACCCUCCAGUUAAUGUUGAUUCAAUGGAUAAAGAUUGACACACAUCAAACCAGAUUAUGCCAUAGGUAUUGCAGAUUUCCAAAAAUCUGCAUUCUUUUUCUUAUCAAUGCUGCUUUUCUUAUCAAUGCUGCUUAUCAAUUUUCUUAUCAAUGCUGCUUUGGUUCUUUCUGUUUAAUGUUAGAAGCAUCAUGAACAUGUCAUAGGUGGAAUAUAUCUUUAAAUAACACCAGAACUUAGAGUGGAUCUAAGUUUUGGAGCCACGGGGAGGAUUCUGAGAAUAAGUAUUGUUAAGAGCUUGUGUUUGUCUUGAACCCCUUAAAGUUCAUGAAUAAGAUAGAACUUUAUAUCCUUGCUAAGUGUGAAAGAAGGGAGAAGAAAUGAAGUUAGGCAAAAUCUUAAUUAUAAAUAAAGGAAGCCCCCACACUGGUGGCAUUUCAUUUACUCCAUAGUUGUAUGUGAAAUCGCACUGGACUAAAACUUCUUUGCCAAAUAUUUAAUUUUAUAAUAUACUGUCCAAAUGAAGGAUUUUGACAUUCCAAUCUGACUUUCAAAUAAGUUAUUAAUUAAAGCUGAGAAAAAAUUUCAGACUUGCCUUCAAUUCAAUAAAUAUUUGUUGAAUAUUUAUUAUGUAUUAGACACUAUUCUAGGUACUUGGGACAUAGCAGUGACCAAAACUUCUGUUCUUAAAACUUACACUAAAUCUAUAUUCAUUUGCAGCUGGAGGAAUAAGAACCAAGUAACAGUUUGCUUCCUAAAUAAGUUAAUAGUUUAAUAUACUGUUUGCAUUUUUCUGAUAUGUUUAUGUGAUUAUCUGGAUUUCAUAAGAAAGAAAGAAUGCAUGAGUUCCUUUUGUAUUCAUUCCAGGUAGCUGAGACUGAAUAGUUUGAAAGCUGUUUCCUAGGAAGCUUCAGUGAUGGUUUGGUGAAUUCCCAGUUAGGACGAUUUUCUACUGUGCUUUGUAAUUUGCUGUUUGACUUUCCUAGAAUCACUGUUCGUUGUCUCCUAGAAAUAUAGUAAGAAAUAGUUUUAUCUAGCUACCCAUUUAGGUGAUAUGUUGAAGUUUUAACCUUUUAUUUUAGGAUAAACAAACACAGAGAGUUUGUUCAAGGAUGGGGAGAAAUAGGGAGAAAAAAACUUACUUCUGGUCGUUAGUGUAAAUCCAGUUGUCUGUACAUUAUAGGGAAUUAGUCGCUUUUUAGAAAGAGCUUUUAAUUGCCUAAUCUAAGUAAUGUGGGCAAUGGCAUACGUGUUUUAUUUUAGGGUCUAUCUAGCCCACUCAGAAAAUGUAAUGGACCUAAUUUUCAUUUAGUAUAGGUCUGUGCAGUUCCUAAAACAUCUAAAUGGCUAUUAAUUUAAUCAGGUAAUUUAACUAUAGCUCUAGAAAAGGCCACCAGCUAGUUGUCACGCAAUGAUUAUGAGGAUGACAUUUCUAUCCCAUGAUGCCAGAGGCAGACUUUGAUACAUCAUUUUCUUUUUGAAGGUUAAACUCAGAUAACCUGCCUUUGGCAUUUAAUUAGCUACAUAUUAAACACUCUUUUAAUAAUAAAAUGAUUAAAAAUUUUAUUGCUUCUCAAAUGAGGCCCUUUUAGAUAGAUUUAAUGACUUGGUUCGAGCUCUGUAGUUUGUGAACCAAACCUUACUUAGGCCAGGGUGUAGUAAUGAUAUGCUUUACAGCUUGCAAAAUCUGUAUUUUAUUCAAAUGAUGGCCAUAAUCAUUUUGGAUAAAACUUAUAAUGCUUUCUUCUGUAUUUUUAAGUCUAACUGUUAAAUGUCAUUGGAAACUAACCAGAAACCCAUUGAUUCAAAAUUUCCAGAAAUUGUCAAGUUCAAGAUUCAUAAAGAGACCAUGAAGUCUGCUUAAUGUGCUGAAUCUUAUAUACUAAUUGUUUACCCUUUGAAAAAUCAUUUGUCGUCAUUGAAUGCCUGCAAGGAAAAAAAAAACUAUUAUAGAAAUGACAGAGAAGUGUGAGUGGCCUACAAAUGCCCAUCCAUAUUUUCAGCUAAUAUUAGCUGUUUAGUGAAAAUGGUCAUCAAGAGACCAUUCGUUGUUCAUCCUCAGCAUGACUUGGUGGGGGUAAGGGGCAGUUACAAUGUCUGUGAAAUAGGUGAAAGAGACAGAAUGCUGUCACACCAGAACAUGGAUAACUAGAGUCUGAAUAAAGGUGACCAUUUUACUUUUAUUCCUUUUAAAAGUUUUUACUUAAUUUUGAAUUUAUGUUAUUUAUUUAUUUAUUUUGUUGUAUAUGCAGCAGCUUUUAGCACUCAGUUCAAUGAGAUUCGACAGAAAUGUACACCCAUGUAACCACUGUCUCGAUCAGGCAAUUAGCUGUCAGACUUCCACAUGCUUUCUUUCCCACAACUUCCUUCUGCUUGUUUUACAACAUCAUGUAGAUGUAACCGUACAGCUUCUUUCGCUUAUCACAUUAUUUUUUAUAUUUACUUGGGUAAUAUAACAGUUGACAGUUUGCAGAUUUUUACAGUUGUACUAUUCCAUUGUGUGAAGGACCAGUCACCUGUUGAUGGAGGUUUGGGUUGUUUCUAGUUCUUUAUUCUAUUACUCAAGCUAUGAACAUGCUUUUGUCAUUCUUUGUUGAAUACAUGGUCUCAUUACUAUUGAGUAAAUAUCUAAGAGUGGCAUCAUUGGGUCAUUAUAAUACUUGCCUGUUUCACUUGAGGAGAAACGGCCAAUAUCUUCACUUUCGGUGUAGUUGUGAAUGAGCUAGCACCCACUUCUUUUAGCUUGGAAAGAUAAAAGUAUUCAGUGAAUAAUAUUCAAUGUAGUGAACGCUGCAAGUGUGUUUAGAAUUGUAAUGGUGAUUUUCUUCUCUCUGUAGAUGUAGAACUUUUCAUUUUGGUGAUUUGACAGAGAAGUCCCUUCCUCCCCAUUCAAAAUCAACAGAUUAUUGCUUUUAUUUCACGUGUAGGUAAAUGUGAAUCAAUAUGGUUCUUUGGGGUUUGGCUUGUUAGAGAAAAUAAGGGAAAAACCCACCAACACACAAACUGGCAAUCAAAUUAAGAUGAAUAUUUCAGAAGAGGCCACCUGUGACUUUGUACAUUAAGGAAAUAUGUAUGUGGCAGAGGGCGAUAAUUCUGAUCGUUAGCACCCGGAGUCUGCAACAGAUUACCAAAUAGCGUUAGAAAAUAUUGUUUCUCUUUGCUUUAGAAUACAAGAUAGCUGGUCCAAAUGAUGAAGAUCCCAGAUCUUCCUUUAACUUUUUCAGCAUAGUUGAUUGAAAUUAAGUGAGGUCCCAUGAAAAAAAAAUUUCCCACACCAGAUUUGUUAUUGUAAACUUCUUCUGACUUGGGGGUGUGAAUUCCUGAGAUCCUUGAGUCUAGGGAGAGUACUUUCUAUUAACAAUUGACUUACUAAUAUUUUAUGGGCAUUUCUUCUAAAUCCUAUGCUAGUUUUUUCCUUGAUAAAUUGUACAUUUGGGUUUCUUAGGCCAAGAGAGAUUGUUUUAAAAAGAUAAUCAAUAGAUAAAUGUGUCUUUUUAUUGCUUUAUUAGAGAAUGGUUUUUGUUUUAUUAGAGAAUAGGUAUUUUUUGCAGAAAAAUUAGAAAAUGCAAAUAUGCAAAAAAGAAAAACUAGUUGUAAUUCUGCCACACACAGUCAUUAAUAUCACAGUGAAUAUCCUUUCAGGUUUUUUAUGCAUAUGUGUAUGCAUGUAUAUACUUUUUAAAAACAGUAACCUAUUUACAAAAUAAUCUAUUUAUUACCAAAAUAUAAAAAUGUCUCUGUAGUCAGUAUUAUCUACAAAGUAAUUUUAAAUAUUUGAACAAUACUAUAUUGUGUCAUAUUUAUGUAACCGACCUCAUACUGUUGGGCAUUUAUAUUGCUUACAAUUGUAUUUUCUUAUACACAGUGAUGAAGUAAACUUCCCUAUAGACAGAUAAUUUUAUACAUCUGAAAUUUUUCCCUUAGGAUAACUUUCUGUAAAUAGAAUUGUACAAUUAAUAGGUAUCCAUAAUAAAGGUUUUUGCUUGGCAAAUUAUUUUUAUACAGGGAGCAAGCAAACUUGAACAUACUAUUCUACAAUUAAUUCUUGUUACUCAGUUGUAACUUUUUAUGGAACAUUUGUUAUUUAUAGUACAAAAAUAUUGAAAAGUUUUGUGGUCUACAGAAAUAUCCUUGACCUUGGACCUUGUGAAAAAAAACUUUCAUUAUAGUUUGAUUCCAUCAGCUGAGAGUAGAUUCCUGUUUACAUAGAACCUAUAUCUUUAGUGUAAGUGUAUAACUCCAGGUAUACAGGUCUCUCAGUAGAAACUAACCAGUUUUGAGUCAAAUGAAAUUGGCUUCUCUUCAGAAGGCACUUUAUUUUAACUUACUUUUAAUGAUCUGCAGCCCCUUUCUGAUGAUCUCGACCUAUACUGCCCAAUAAGAUAGCCAUUAGCCACCUGAAAGAUGGCUGGUCAGAAUUGAGAUUUAAUAUAAAAAAAUGUAAAAUACCCUAUUAAUAACUUUCAUAUUGAUUACAAAAUGAAAUUAUAAUAUUGGAGAUACAUGGAGUUCAAUAAAAUAUAAUAUUAAAGUGAAUUUUACCUGUUUCUUCUUAGUUUUUUCAACAUGGUUGUUGGAAAAUGUUCAAUUACCCUAUGUGGCUCCCGUUUUAUUUCUAUUGGACAGAGUGCAUCUACAUGUAUAUUCCCCUGAUACAGAAAAUAUAAAACAAGUAUCUCCACAUGUUAAUUAUAUUUUCAUGGCUAUGAAAACCAUAGUCAAGGGAGGGAGGUUUCAGUGGGUCUACAAAGGUGCCUUCAAUGUGAUGUCUGAUAAGUGAGGAAAUCACUGAGAGGAGAAAUCUCACACUUGCCUUGAGCGCCAGGAUUCUACAGAUGGCAGACCAGUUCUUCUUAGCAGCGUUACAGACCCUCUCUCUGCUGAAGCUCUGAAUUGUUGAAAAGGAUGAUGUGUUCUCACAAGGGGAAUGGAUAAAGUGAACAGCAUUCCAUUCCAAAUUCUCUCUGUUUCCAAUCUUGAUGAUCACUUCACAUAUGCCUAAUUUUCAUUUAUCCUCAUGCAGUCUCAACACAAAAGACGUGAGUAAACUCAAGUGAAGAACCGAACUACCCCCAGGCAGCUAGAGACAUGAAGUUUGGAAAUAGAACUCCAUGUGAAUUUUUGUUGAGGUACUGCCUAUAACUUCAGAAUGCAGUGGAGAAUUGAGGCAUAUACCCUUCUCCAAAAAGAAUGAACAACAAUAACAACAAAAGCUGAUAGAUAAGUGACUGAAUAAUUCAGAUUAGGCAAUUGACUUGAAGCUCUCAUAUAAUUGUCCCCUUGUGUGUAUAGACCCUGCCAACUGUGGAAGACCAUCCAAAUAGAGAAGGGUAAUGCUAAUGCUGCAACACAAGUCGUGUGGUUUGGAGCCUGCACUCCUGAUUACUAAAUUAUCCUGCAAUAAAUGUCUUCUGAAUGAACGAAAGGAUGAAUACAUGCAUUAUGCAGGACAGAUUUGCCAUAAUAUUUUCAAGGAUUUGCUAUCAUAUUAUUAUUGCUAAAGCUCCCUCCAAAUAAAGCUACUGAUCUUCAGGAAAAGAUUUUUCUGGAGGAAACCUUGGGAUAUGAUAGAAUAAAUAUGCAUAUGGUGUUGGUUUAGCAUACACAGGUGAUUUAAAAAAAAUCUUAACGUUUAUUUAUUUUUGAGACAGAGAGAGACAGACCGUAAACAGCGGGGGCCGGGGUGGGGGGAGAGAAGGGCAGAGAGAGAGAGAGAGAUUGAGACACAGAAUCCAAAGCAGGAUCCCGGCUCUGAGCUGUCAGCACAGAGCCCCAUUUGGGGCUUGAACUCCUGGACCAUGAGAUCAUGACCUGAGCAGAAGUCAGACACUCAACCAACUGAACCACCCAGGUGCCCCACACAUAGGCAAUUUUGAACAUGACAUGCACUGUGCCUCCAGGGAAGUGUGAGGUUGAAAUACACAGUAAUCCCAUCGAGGGAUGAAGGUGAAAUGGAAGCCUUGUCUUGGAGAAGAAUGGCUCAUGCUCUGGAAAGUCAGGCUAGCAGAGAGUAUGCACAUCGAUUCAGGCACCAGACUUCCAGCUAUCUCUGACCCCUAUGACAUGUAAGGCAAGCCACUAACUUUUUUGAGCUUCAGUUUUUUCUUCCGAAAAAUGAUGAUAAUAUUAGUCCCUACUUCCUGGGUUGUUGUGAGAACCAAAUGAGAUAGAUGUGCGUGAAGCACGAAGUAUAGUGCCUGACCCACAGCGAGUCAAUUAGUGUCUGAUGUGUCAUUGGUGCUGCGGCUCUAAAUCUCCUGCCUAUACUCUGCUGAGGCAUACUGUCCUAUUUUUGGUUUUAUCUCUAAAGAAUUGUUAGGGAGCUCUCGUGUUUUAGUCAGGCUUGAAGAAGAGGUUUAUUAUAAAAACAGAUCUUCAUCAUCAGGCCGGUUCCGUAGGUCACUUGCUUCUUUCUCAAGGCAGGGGUUAGCCAGAAGGCCAAGCAGCAUUUCCUCCAACUUUCUCUUGGCUUGGGUCAAGUUGCUUCAGUAUACCAGCAUCUCUCUCCCUUUCAAUCCAAUUCUCCUCGCCUCCAACCUAUAAAUUGGCUUCGGAAAAUAUUUUUUUCUACAAGUCCAUAGAAAGGGAAAAAAUAGACUUAGUUUUCCUCAAAGUCCCAGGAGUGUCUCUCUCUGGGACAAAGACGGGUUACUUGUUUUCCAGAGCAAUAGGAGGGCCAUUAGUGCAACUGUAUUGAUAUACUUCCCUAGUCAACAAACAUCCCCAGCCAGGGACCUGGGUAGUGGUAAGAUACAAGCCAAAUGUGUAUUUAAUGACUGAGUCCAUAAUUUUAGUUUCCAAUAUGACAUCUAUAAAUUGGAGAUUUUUUUUCUAUUAAAGUCAACAUGAAAUCUUUUUCUGUUGAAGUCUGAUGAUUGACUUGAUUUGUAUAUGGCAAAUAAACAAAAUGUAGCUACUUUUUAAUGUGAACAUCAGGAUUGGUUAAAGAAAUUAUAAUAUAGCCAUACAAUAUAAUAUGCGCCAGCCAUUGAUAAAGCUGUCUUGGGAAUAUAUUUAUAGACAUGUAAAGCUGUUCACCGUGUUCUUAAGUGAAAAAAGGGCGAAUUUGUGAAGCAGUAUGGUUCCAGGUUUUCAGAAAAACGUCUGAAUGUCUAGGAACAAAAGUGUUAAUGAUUGUUAAUUUUAAGGUGGUAGGAGGGGCCACCGGGUGGCUCAAUCAGUUAAGCGGCUGACUUCGACUCAGGUCAUGACCUCACAGCUUGGUGAGUUUGAGCCUCACAUCGGGCUCUGUGCUGACAGCUGGGAGCCUGCAGCCCGCUUCCGAUGGAUUCUGUGUCUCCCUCUCUCUCUACCCCUCACCCGCUUACACUCUGUCUCUCUCUGUCCUUCAAAAAUAAAUAAACAUUAAGAAAAAAAAAUUAAGUUGGUAGGAAAUGGGAAAUUUUUAUUUUGUGUGUUUUUAAAAAUGUCCUCAUUUCUAUAAGUGAAAACAACAUAUCUCUCAUUUAUGAAAGACGUGCUGAAUCAAGCUAUAAUACAUGAAUGCAAUGAACACUGUCAUGAGCCACUGAAAAUUUUAGUGGAUUAUUUGUGAACAUUUUGUUCUCUUUAAAAAAUAGAAUGAGAAUUAAUAGGAAAGAAUCAUUCAACAAGUAUUGCAAUUUCUUGAGUGCCUAUUGCCUGUGAGGUGCUAAGUGAAUAAUAUUAACACUUACAGGGUAAGUUUACUGUAUCCAUUUUAGUGUUAAGAAACGUGAAAUCAGGGAACCUGAUUUGCACAAGUCCACAAUGAUAGAACAAGGACUCAAAGUUGGGUCCCAUUCUACCACUGCAACGUCCUUCUCAAAAUGAAGACCAGAGGAAUCAAAUCAUUUUUUCACUGUCUCAGCUAACAUAUCGCAGAUCUGUGAACUGAACCUGGGUCUUGCUGACCCCAAAACCCAAGUUUUGUUUACUACACUGCUCUUGUCCUCAUGUUUGCUCGUGUUUUACUGGCCAAAGCAAGUCAUGGCCAAGUCUAGAGACAACAUAGAAAGGAGCUAACACAGGUCUGGGUAUUGGGAGGUGUGAUUCAUUGGGGGUCAUUCAUAUAUAAUCUACAAAACUGAACGAGCAUCAGAGUAACUAAAAUGGUUGAAGACAUGAGAUGGGAGGAAAGUACCUGUAAUAAGAGUGUUAAAAUUUCUCCUCUGAAAAGGAACUUGAAGACAAGAAUGUGGGUAAAUAAAUCUGACCAUCUUUAUAAAGCCAGAAAUACUGUAAAGAGAAGCCACCAUUUGAAACUAAGUCUAAAUGAAUUUCAAACAAAUUUUUUAAAUUAUGAUUUAUAAUUUCAGUUACCUAAUAAUUAAUUCGGGGGAUUCAGUAUUCUAUGAGGAAGCCCUGGAAUGAAAUACAAAUUGAUCAAGAAAGAAUGUAAAAAAUUCAUGUAUGUUAGAACUAUAAAUGGGAUUAAGAUGAGCAAUGGUUUCCAAAAAUCAUCAAAAUCAUUUGGGGAACUUUGAAGCAUAUAUAUCUUGGGCUCCAAACCCAGGGAUUUUACUGUUUAAGUGUUUAGAACACUUCAGGUCCCAACCUUCUCAGAUGAUGGUUUUGCACUAAAACCCCCAAAUUCCAACCUUCUCUAGAUUUCAAAAAAUGGUAUGAUUUUUCAGAAAAGGACUAGACCUUCAAUACUUUUUAAAGCAUAAAACUUUCUCAGAAGAGGGACUAGCUGUGUCAACUUUGGGUAAGGUAAUACAUUCUUCUCAAGCAACUCCCCACUGUUUCUCCAUCCUUCAUCUGGAAAAUGCAGACAAAAAUACCACCUUCAUAGGGGUUUUGGUAAGGAUUAAAUGAAGCAACCUAUAAAAGUCCUUAGCAAGCCUUGUAUACACUGAGGGCUCAAUAAAUGGCAACAAUUAGCACUAUUACUAACAAUUUGCUGAUAGUGUUUUUUGGAAAUAGACUACUUGAGUGGAUGGGCCCUAGUUUUGGCUGAGUAUGACCCUUCCUGUUUCUAUGAUCUCCCUGUGUUGAAACUGAUAAGAAAAGAAGAUGAUUUACUCUUGAGGUAAUAGAAUUACCCUUGUGCUUGAAACCUGUAUCAAAGUAGAACUAUCAGUACACAACUGGAAGGUAGCUAGCAGGACAUAGGGUAUGUCCGAGAAAUAAUGAUGGCAAUGAUAAUAAUGAUUCUUGCUGUCAUUUACUGAGAUCCCACUAUGUUGCAAGCACUGUUCCAGCCAUUUAUGUCCAGUAUCUGGCUUCAGUACCAUGGCAGUCUAUUAAAAAUAUUCUACUAUUUUCUGGGGCACCUGGGUGGCUCAGUUGGUUAAGCAUCCAACUUUGGCUCAGGUCAUAAUCUCAUGGUUCAUGAAUUUGAGCCCUGCAUGGGGCUGACUGUCAUCAGUGUGGAGCCUGCUUCAGAUCCUCUGUCUCCCUCUCCCCCCUGCCCUUCCCUGACUCACACACACGUGUGUGUGUGUGUGUGUGUGUGUGUGUGUGUGUGUGUCUGGGUCUGUGUGUUCUCUCUCUCUCAAAAAUUAUUGGACAUUAAAAAAAUAUUCUAUUAUUUUCAUUUUACAGAUGAGGAAGCUGAGACUUGAAGAGAUUAAGCUCCUUGUCCACAGUCGGCCCAGUGUUCCAGCCUUCUGCCGUCCGAGUCAGAUAGAGACUUGACAAUCCAGUUAAAGAUAGGAAUUUUACAUUCAUUAUUAUCGCUGUCUCCUCAAGUUUUUAUUGAGGGAAUGAAUGGCACAGUUUGGAAGUGUGCAGUUUGGAAACUUCCUUCUCUAAGAGAUUUUGUUUUAGCCUUCUCUCUCAAAUAGGCUUACUUUUCUAAGAGCUUGCUUGUUCUUGAAGCCCAUUUCUCAACAUUGCUAUGGUAUGAAUGGAGAACCGUGGGCAGUUUGGGAAAAACCAUGUUUGAGUGGUUUGUGGUAAUGAAGAGGAGAUGGUCAUUUCACAUUGUCUAUGUCUAUUCUUUUUUCUCUAGACUUUUGGGUGAGUCAUAGCUUUGUCCAAGG
rnacentral:lncRNA from 1 species